CCCCUCUCAGGGUCACACCUGGAGAAUUUCCAGGACUCUACCAGUCACAACUACAGGAGGGAGAGUCAAGAAGAGGCAAUACCCAUUCCAUUCCUAGCUUGGGCAGUGGCUAGUGAGUGGAAGGCAAUCUGCUACAAGU
rnacentral:snoRNA from 1 species